rnacentral:tRNA from 1 species
GGGUAGCGAAGAGGCUAAACGCGGCGGACUGUAAAUCCGCUCCUUAUUGGUUCCUUGGUUCGAGUCCAAGUAUCCCCACCA